rnacentral:rRNA from 1 species
CAGUAGCCGCGGUAAUACGUAGGGUGCGAGCGUUAAUCGGAAUUACUGGGCGUAAAGCGUGCGCAGGCGGUUCGUUAAGACAGAUGUGAAAUCCCCGGGCUUAACCUGGGAACUGCAUUUGUGACUGGCGAGCUAGAGUAUGGCAGAAGGGGGUAGAAUUCCACGUGUAGCAGUGAAAUGCGUAGAGAUGUGGAGGAAUACCGAUGGCGAAGGCAGCCCCCUGGGCCAAUACUGACGCUCAUGCACGAAAGCGUGGGGAGCAAACAGGAUUAGAUACCCCAGUAGUCCCUGUCUCUUAUAU